AAACCCCCCACCUGGUUAGCUAGACCAGUUUUAGGUAGGCAAGAUUUUAGCUCUAAAAUACAUUAAGAUGUUGAGAAAUACAGGCUUUUUAUUGGGGGGGGGGUUAGGGAGCUAAUAGCUUGGAUUCUGAUUCUGUGGAUUGUUGGGAGAGUACAGGAAGGAGCCUUCCUAGAAAAGCAUCAUCUCUCACCAGACAAGAAAGAAUUCUGGGAUCCAUCCUGGGAGGAGGACAAGCCACACAUCCCGGGGUGGCUAGCAGCUCGGUCCUGCACUGGCUGGCUGUUUGGUGGAUGCUCCAGUGGCCCAAAGGGAAGAACUGCAGUACAUCUCUACAUCUGGCUCCUGUUUUGUGCUCUCUGUGACUGGGAAGUUGAACCAAAGUGAAAAUGUUGUCAUUUCAGCAAUCAAGUUCUGUACUAGAGAAACUCUUAAAGAGAAAAGGGACUCUGAGUUUUCAGUGGGCUCAGGAGAUGGGAAGACUGCAAGGUGGCAGCUGUGAUGUGAUGGCCCAGCUCCUGGACCUCAGGGAACGGAUCCAGGAGGUGCUCAAGGAAGCUGACAGCCAAGGAGGGAGGAGUGGGCCAUAUCUUGGAGGCCCCAAAUUCAGAGAACAAUGAAAACAAGAUGACCAGACCUGCCUGGCUCCUCUCCAUGCAGAGCUGGACCAGGAAUGGAACAGUUGGAUGGACUACAUUUAAUUCUCAUUCUUGCUGUGCAAGUGUUAUGGGAUUCCUGUCUGUAGUAAGGCUGGGCAGACCAGCAACCACCUUUUGGACUCAGAGCAAUCACACCUCCACGUGUUAUGGAUCAAAUAUGCCUUAAAAUCCCAUCUGGAGCUGUAAAAUAAAUGACUGUUGCUUUGCUCUUAUAGGUAUGGU
rnacentral:lncRNA from 12 species